rnacentral:rRNA from 1 species
UACGGAGGGUGCAAGCGUUAUCCGGAUUCACUGGGUUUAAAGGGUGUGUAGGCGGAUAUUUAAGUCCGAGGUGAAAUCUCUGAGCUCAACUCAGAAACUGCCUUGGAUACUAUUUAUCUUGAAUAUCGUUGAGGUAGGCGGAAUAUGUCAUGUAGCGGUGAAAUGCUUAGAUAUGAACAUAGAACACCGAUUGCGAAGGCAGCUUGCUAAACGAUUAUUGACGCUGAGGCACGAAAGCGUGGGGAUCAAACAGG